AGCGAACGCUGGCGGCAGGCCUAACACAUGCAAGUCGAACGAACCUUUCGGGGUUAGUGGCGGACGGGUGCGUAACACGUGGGAACGUGCCUUUAGGUUCGGAAUAACUCAGGGAAACUUGUGCUAAUACCGAAUGUGCCCUUCGGGGGAAAGAUUUAUCGCCUUUAGAGCGGCCCGCGUCUGAUUAGCUAGUUGGUUGAGGUAAUGGCUCACCAAGGCGACGAUCAGUAGCUGGUCUGAGAGGAUGAUCAGCCACAUUGGGACUGAGACACGGCCCAAACUCCUACGGGAAGCAGCAGUGGGGAAUCUUGCGCAAGGGGCGAAAGCCUGACGCAGCCAUGCCGCGUGAAUGAUGAAGGUCUUAGGAUUGUAAAAUUCUUUCACCGGGGACGAUAAUGACGGUACCGGGAGAAGAAGCCCCGGCUAACUUCGUG
rnacentral:rRNA from 1 species